GACGGGGGAUGCAAGCGUUAUCCGGAAUCACUGGGCUUAAAGCGCGCGUAGGCGGUGUUGCAAGUCACUGGUGGAAUACUCCGGCUUAACCGGAGAAAAGCCAGGGAAACUGUAUGACUAGAGUGUGGGAGAGGAAGACGGAAUUCCCGGAGUAGCGGUGAAAUGCGUAGAUAUCGGGAAGAAGGCCGGUGGCGAAAGCGUUCCACUGGAACUGAACUGACGCUGAGAGGCGAAAGCUAGGGGAGCAAAUGGG
rnacentral:rRNA from 1 species